GAGGGCAAGCUAACGCUAUCUCUUUACAAAGUGGGACCGCUUAUGAAGGGCCUCAUAACCCAACAAUGAGCGAGUCCAAAACUUCUAAAGAAAAUAUACCUACCAACCAAGAAGAGGAACCGGUAGAACCCGAAAAACAAACCGACCAAGAAGGAGAAGCCAAGGAUAAAACUUACAAACCACCACCCCUGUACAAACCACCAAUCCCAUAUCUGCAAAGACUUAA
rnacentral:lncRNA from 1 species